CGGCGUCUUCUUCUUCUUCCUGCAAUGCCCGGAUGUUGAUGAAAACAAACAACGAAUUGUGUAUUUUGUUAUUAUUAUUUUAUUACACGUCACGUUUAUACUAGUGGUUUUUACAGCCAGCUUUUUAUCCACGCGGAAUGUUAAUGAUUUCACGAUCGCCACAUAACGGAGCCGAGCGCCCGCUGACUGACUGACUGACUCUAACUGGAUGACAAGACGCCUCGGCGGCCAUCUUGUCCUCAGGUCCUAGCAACGGUUGCCAGGGCCCGCUGGCACGCGGCAAAGGGAGCCGCCAUUUUGGAAGGGGCUGCCGCCACACCUCCAUCGCCCGUUGCGAGGCGGGAGACAUGGCGGCCAUGUUGGCAAGGGCUGGAAAUUCGAUUUCUUAUCAUUUUAUUAUUAUUAUUUUUUUUAAUUAAUUUUUUUUCUAAAAUGCAGUCGUUCACAAGGCGUGAUAUGUAGAUAUUUUGCUUUUAUCGUUAUGGCUGCUGCCUAUUGGCUCGUGCGGAAGAGCAUCAUGGGAAUCGUAGUUCCUGGCAGCUGCAGUGCCAGAGAGCGGCCAUUACUGGCAAAAUGCAAGUCUGUCUGUGCCAGGACCUGACACUAAUAAACAACACACCGAUACGCAUUGCCCAGGAAGGAAAUGCUUGGACAUUAAAUAUGACAAGUUUAAAAAAAUAAAGAAAAUAAAAAAAAUUUAAUUAACCCUUUCAGGUUUUGAAACAAUUUAGUAGUUAAAUUAUCCAUAGAUUAAUAGGGGGCAAGGGGAGCCUUAUUUAAAAAAUAAAUAAAUAAAUAAACCAGACCAAUAUGAGUGUCAGGGUUAUUCAGCAAAGGGUGAGUUGAAAAUAAU